rnacentral:rRNA from 1 species
UACGUAGGGGGCUAGCGUUGUCCGGAUUCAUUGGGCGUAAAGGGUGUGUAGGUGGCGCCGUAAGUCGGGUGUGAAAUUUCGGAGCUUAACUCCGAAACUGCAUUCGAUACUGCGGUGCUUGAGGACUGGAGAGGAGACUGGAAUUCAUGGUGUAGCAGUGAAAUGCGUAGAGAUCAUGAGGAAGACCAGUGGCGAAGGCGGGUCUCUGGACAGUUCCUGACACUGAGACACGAAGGCCAGGGGAGCAAACGGG